GACAGAGGAUGCAAGUGUUAUCCGGAAUCACUGGGCGUAAAGCGUCUGUAGGUGGUUUAAUAAGUCAACUGUUAAAUCUUGAGGCUCAACCUCAAAAUCGCAGUCGAAACUAUUAGGCUAGAGUAUAGUAGGGGUAAAGGGAAUUUCCAGUGGAGCGGUGAAAUGCGUAGAGAUCGGAAAGAACACCAACGGCGAAAGCAACUCUGCUGGGCCGACACUGACACUGAGAGACGAAAGCUAGGGGAGCGAAUGGG
rnacentral:rRNA from 1 species